UAUUCUAAACAUUUGCUAACUUUUCUGCAUUGCUAAUAUAUUUACUCAAUUUUUUUAAAUUAGUUUACUGUUCUGACCUCCCAAUCAUCAUCUGCAAGCCAAAGAAGAUUUUUUCUCCUUAUUACUUUCCAGUUAUCUUGUUUGCCCUUCCAAUCAACUGCAAUCCGCUGAUUAGGACUCCUCAUUAUUUGGUUUUGCGGAAAAGAAACUUGAUCCACAAUGAAUCCACAACAAAGAAUAUGAAAACCAUCUUGAUCCUACAUAACAUAAUCUGAUGCGGACACAUGGAUGACUCUGUAUCCCUCUGUCUUCAGUUCCUUCACCCUGGCUCGCAAGACCGUUUGUGACAUAUCUAAAAAUGAAGUAAAACAGGCAACUUUGUCUACAUGUGUGUUUCCAGAGCUCUGGUCCUCUACAUAAAACAAAGAUAUUUGUAUGCUACAUGCCAGCAUUUUGCUUAUACUCCACUCUU